rnacentral:rRNA from 1 species
GUGGGGAAUAUUGGACAAUGGGCGAAAGCCUGAUCCAGCCAUGCCGCGUGUGUGAAGAAGGUCUUCGGAUUGUAAAGCACUUUAAGUUGGGAGGAAGGGCAGUAAGUUAAUACCUUGCUGUUUUGACGUUACCAACAGAAUAAGCACCGGCUAACUUCGUGCCAGCAGCCUCGGUAAUACGAAGGGUGCAAGCGUUAAUCGGAAUUACUGGGCGUAAAGCGCGCGUAGGUGGUUUUGUAAGUUGGAGGUGAAAUCCCCGGGCUCAACCUGGGAACUGCCUCCAAAACUGCAUGACUAGAGUACGGUAGAGGGUAGUGGAAUUUCCUGUGUAGCGGUGAAAUGCGUAGAUAUAGGAAGGAACACCAGUGGCGAAGGCGACUACCUGGACUGAUACUGACACUGAGGUGCGAAAGCGUGGGGAGCAAACAGGAUUAGAUACCCCGGUAGUCC